GCACAGAGCUAGUGCCUGUGGGUGCUGGAGGUCGAGUCCCGCCUGAGAGAACAAGCGCUCCCUCUUCACCUGGGACACCAGCCUUGUCAUGGCCCAGGGACUGGCAAUGUGGUGGUUGCUCAGUAACUGGUGUCCAGCACAGGGCUCACACGUGGCCAGCACACAGCAGAUGCCACUGGGAGGCGCUGGCUAAGCUUGGACCUGGAGCCCUGAAUCCUGAGGGAAUCCAGGUGGGGAGGCAUUUUCAGUGGGCACUCUGCACCUUUUCUGCUUCACAACAAGAGGAGACCUGGCCCAAGGAAAGGCCCGUCGCGGAGCACAGAGAGAAGAGAGGCCUGGUGCAGGACCCACUCCCUCUGCCGUCGCUACCCGUCCAUCAGUGAUGAUGCUCGUAGAGAUCGCAGGCUUGCUUCACCACUGACCCCAGCAUUCCAUCCAGCAAACAGACGUCCACCCUGGCAGUCAUAGGUCCUGCCUCCCACAUCUUUGUUUCUCCUCCUGGCCAUGGGGUAGGACUGGGUUUCACUCUUCCCUGAUGUUCAGUGUGGCCAUGUAAUGUAAUUACAUGGCCCAGCAUGUAAUUCGUCUUACUUUCUCUUUCCCUCUGGCACAGAAAUCCAGAGAAUAACUAAUCUGUCUGCUCGGGCCCCAGAGUGAAGACGGCAGGGCAGAAACCCCAGCUGACCUACAGUGGGUGUGUUGUGUAGGCUUGAGGCUGUUUGUUACUGCAGCCUAGCCCAUCCUGAUGGUCUAAGUGGGGGGAAAUUCCCCAUGCCUAGGCUAAGAAUCAAGACCUAAGAGCUUAGAAAGGUAGCAAAUGGCUCUUCACAGCACCUCUUUGCUCACUAAGAACCACUCCCACUUUAUCACGCAACCCUGUUUAUCUUCAUAUGCUGUGCCUAGCGCUCAGUCGUGUCCGACUCUUUGUGACCCCGUGGACUCCUCUGUCCAUGGAAUUCUCCAGGCAAGAAUACUGGAGUGGGUUGCCCUGCCCUUCUGCAGGGGAUCUUCCCGACCCAGAGAUCGAACCUGAGUCACCCGCAUUGCAGGCGGAUUCUUUACUGUCUGAGCCACCAGGGAGUUUUAUAUCUGUUUACAGGUUUAUUAUGUCUCCCUCUAGAAAGUCAGCUUCGUGAAGGCCAGGACCCCAACCCUCAGGUUUAUAUCUGUGUAGCCAGGGUAUACAGCAGAGCUGGUCCAGGAUGGCAGGCCCUCAUGGACGCGAUGAGUCCCUGGAUUGGGAGGUCCGAGGGGUGCGGUGACCUAAGGUGGAGACUUGUACGUAUACUUGUUUGGUGGUGACAGCGGAGUAGGAGCUUGAUGAGUUACUCUCUGAGUGAAUGAGCUCUGGUGGAGAGGGGAUGGGGUGGUGUCCUUUCAUAAUGUGGGAGAAGGUGGCGAGUUCUCCAGGAGGGGAGGCUGUGGUGCCCCAUCUUCUCUGUGCUCCCGGCCAGCUCCACGCAAGAAGCGGAGGAGGAGCUACAGUUUCUGGAGAAAGGAAGAGCGAUUGGGAUGGUGACUCAGGGCUGCCACCCAUCACAGUUCGGUUGGUACCGGUCCAGGGAGCAGAGGGAGGAGUGUGAGUGGCUGGACAGGUCUCCCAGGCUGCAGAGUUGAGCCCUGUGGUGGGUCCAGAAGGUGUGAGAAACUGCAUGUGUACGGGUGUGAGAGAGAGCAUGUGAGUGAAUGAAUGCUGGGCACCACCAGGGCCAGCUUUGUGAGCUCUCUACCCCAGAGGACUCUGUGCUGCCCAGGAGGCUGGGAGAAGCCAGGAGCCCUGGAGAGAGGGCCAGGAGCUUGGAGCAGGUGACUCGGUUGGGGGUGCUAGUAGGGAAGUGGCUCCCAGGCCUGUCCUAGUCUGGCCUCUGACCUUUGUGCAUCUCAGAACCCAGCAGGCCUGGGCCUUGCUGGGCACCUGCUCUUCUCUGGGAUGUUCUUUCUACGUGGUGACUGGAGGUCCACUCCCAGCAUGGUAUCCUCU
ensembl:lncRNA